rnacentral:rRNA from 1 species
AUUGAACGCUGGCGGAAUGCUUUACACAUGCAAGUCGAACGGCAGCACGGACUUCGGUCUGGUGGCGAGUGGCGAACGGGUGAGUAAUGUAUCGGAACGUGCCCAGUCGUGGGGGAUAACGUAGUGAAAAUUACGCUAAUACCGCAUACGAUCUAUGGAUGAAAGCGGGGGAUCGCAAGACCUCGCGCGAUUGGAGCGGCCGAUAUCAGAUUAGGUAGUUGGUGGGGUAAAGGCCCACCAAGCCAACGAUCUGUAGCUGGUCUGAGAGGACGACCAGCCACACUGGAACUGGGACACGGUCCAGAGUCCUACGGGAGGCAGCAGUGGGGAAUUUUGGACAACGGGCGAAAGCCUGAUCCAGCCAUUCCGCGUGCAGGAUGAAGGCCCGCGGGUUGUAAACUGCUUUUGUACAGAACGAAAAGGUUUCUACUAAUACUAGGAGCUCAUGACGGUACUGUAAGAAUAAGCACCGGCUAACUACGUGCCAGCCGCCGCGGUAA